rnacentral:rRNA from 1 species
GAUGAACGCUGGCGGCGUGCCUAAUACAUGCAAGUCGAGCGAACAGACGAGGAGCUUGCUCCUCUGACGUUAGCGGCGGACGGGUGAGUAACACGUGGAUAACCUACCUAUAAGACUGGGAUAACUUCGGGAAACCGGAGCUAAUACCGGAUAAUAUAUUGAACCGCAUGGUUCAAUAGUGAAAGACGGUUUUGCUGUCACUUAUAGAUGGAUCCGCGCCGCAUUAGCUAGUUGGUAAGGUAACGGCUUACCAAGGCGACGAUGCGUAGCCGACCUGAGAGGGUGAUCGGCCACACUGGAACUGAGACACGGUCCAGACUCCUACGGGAGGCAGCAGUAGGGAAUCUUCCGCAAUGGGCGAAAGCCUGACGGAGCAACGCCGCGUGAGUGAUGAAGGUCCUCGGAUCGUAAAACUCUGUUAUUAGGGAAGAACAAAUGUGUAAGUAACUAUGCACGUCUUGACGGUACCUAAUCAGAAGGCCGCGGCUAACUACGUG